UUUGAUCCUGGCUCAGGAUGAACGCUAGCGGCAGGCUUAACACAUGCAAGUCGAGGGGUAGAAGUCUUCGGGCUUUGAGACCGGCGCACGGGUGCGUAACGCGUAUGCAAUCUGCCUUUCACAGAGGGAUAGCCCAGAGAAAUUUGGAUUAAUACCUCAUAGUAUAACACAACCGCAUGGUUGAGUUAUUAAAGUCACAACGGUGAAAGAUGAGCAUGCGUCCCAUUAGCUAGUUGGUAAGGUAACGGCUUACCAAGGCAACGAUGGGUAGGGGUCCUGAGAGGGAGAUCCCCCACACUGGUACUGAGACACGGACCAGACUCCUACGGGAGGCAGCAGUGAGGAAUAUUGGACAAUGGGCGCAAGCCUGAUCCAGCCAUGCCGCGUGCAGGAUGACGGUCCUAUGGAUUGUAAACUGCUUUUGCACAGGAAGAAACAGCUCUACGUGUAGAGUCUUGACGGUACUGUGAGAAUAAGGAUCGGCUAACUCCGUGCCAGCAGCCGCGGUAAUACGGAGGAUCCAAGCGUUAUCCGGAAUCAUUGGG
rnacentral:rRNA from 1 species